UACGUAGGAGGCGAGCGUUGUCCGGAGUUACUGGGCGUAAAGGGUGCGCAGGCGGUGGCCCGCGUGGGCGGUGAAAGCUCCUGGCUCAACUGGGAGAGGGCCGUCCAGACGGGGUCACUUGAGGGGCGGAGAGGGGCGUGGAAUUCCGGGUGGAGCGGUGAAAUGCGUAGAUAUGUGGAGGAACACCUGUGGCGAAGGCGCCUUGCUGGCCAAUUUCUGACGCUGAGGCGCGAAAGCGUGGGGAGCAAACAGG
rnacentral:rRNA from 1 species